rnacentral:tRNA from 1 species
GGCCUAGUAGCUCAGUUGGUUAGAGUGCCGGCCUGUCACGCCGGAGGUCGAGGGUUCGAGCCCCUUCUAGGUCGCCA